GAGUUUACACACAAACAGAGCCCGGGCUGGAAUUCAACCCCACAGCUGACCCUCCCUGCAGCCAGCACAAAUCACAGGAGUCGUUUCUGAUACUGUCGAGAAAAAGAUGCCUGCGCCUACCCCCACCCGACCCCCCUACUGAUGGGAGAACCUCUCAAAAUGGUCAGGAGAAGGCCACAUUUUAGAAGGGAUUCCCUGGACGAUCCGUCUGAUCCAGACCCAUGCAAACGGAGUUCAGGCGUUUUAAAGCUGUCAGCCACAUUCCGCUGGCAAUCAGAAACAUAUUCGAGCAGAUAUCGCCGCCCAGGAGAGUGCUCGACUGCAUUAGCUUUAACCGUGGCAGAUCUAGACUCCUCGCACUGUGCAGCGCGUGCCUUUUAAUUUCUUCGGGGAUAGUUUUGACAAAACAAGUUAGCAUGAGGUAGGAGGUGUCAGCCUCAACAAAAAUCCUUGUGUUUUCUUUCUCUCCCCUGUUCUCUCUCUAUCUCUCUCUCUCUCUCUCCUUCUUCUUCUGUCUCCCGGCUCAUCUGUGUGAAGCACGUGUCAGUCAUCGCUGAGGUGCAACACUGGAAGUGACAUCAUGGCCCUCAAGGGCUUGUGCUGGGAGAGAAGCCUUUUGAUUGCGUUGGGGAAGAACAAGAGUGUCAGGCGGAUUGAGAGGAGUGCAUCAUGUAGGCUCAGCUAUUGUAAGGCGUUUCACUUAGACAAACAGCUGGAGGUAGCUUGAAACUGACACUUCUCUUUUUUUCUCCUCACCAAAUAGCUGCACUUCACCAAUAUUUGAAGUGGAGAGAGAAGGGGGGGGGGGGGGUCCUCUAAGUAAAUGAAUGCAGCUGGCCGUGAUGGCUCAUUAAUUUAUGUAAACUCUGGGUGAUUAUGAUAUUUACUUGAGCCUUCCAAAUACUCACAGCACACACAGUCAUCAGCAAGCCACUAAGCCUUUCAAAUCACUCCAUAACAAACACGCCUUAAUAGAGUUAUACAGUUACAAAGCAUUAAAGACAACUCACAUCCAAACAAGUUUUUGGGGAGGUAAUAACAGUUUGUUUUUUCCUCAUCUGCCAUGUUAUUUCAGUCUUAUAACAAAUUAGCUGUCAGGUUUAUGUGAGGAGUUACGGCAGGAUGUGUUCUAUCAUUGCCUCUUGCCAGAGGAAGCCCGGUCUCGUUGGCACUACCGGGAACAUAUGUUUGGGUAUUGGGCUCCCACUUAGAGCUCUAACUGCUCAAUAACAGUUUGUGUCAGAGUGCAAUGUGGUGACAUAUGUUUUCCGCAUUACUUACAGUUAAGCGGUGAACCUCGUUAAGUGCAAUCUGGGAUGGACAGACGCAUCGAAUCACCGCGCUGAAACAACUUUGGCCAGCGUCUACACGCCUGCACGUGUGCACAGUGCCACGCAAACGCCACAAUAGACGCCUAUUUUAUUUAGCAUGUUCAAGGAGUAGGCUGUUAGACAGUGAGACAGUGGACGUUUUUUUCUGAUCACUGGGCCUAGCUCUCUUCCUUGCUGGACGGGCCCACUGAUUGGCUUUUCAUGGGCAAUCUGUUGGCCUGAUAGGCUCCACGGGUGACCUGGUGGCAGGGCGGACGGCGGGCAGCGAUUGGCUGUGCCGGCCGGGCCUCGGUCCGGCGAGGCGAUGAUGGGAGUGGGCCAGGGAGAUUGAUGGAGGGCAGACAAGCGGCAGCGGGAAUGAGCUGCCCUCCUUUGAAGUCCGGCAGAAGGGAAGUAAAUUGAUAUAUCAGUUUAAGCCCUAGACCCUAUUAGAGGAGCUCCCGUCAGGUUAAUGCGAUAGCCUCCACAUUUACC